GCUGAAGAGGACCCUCAUAAAUGUGCC
rnacentral:piRNA from 1 species